rnacentral:misc_RNA from 1 species
AACGCACAUUGCGCCCGCCAGCAUUCUGGCGGGCAUGCCUGUUCGAGCGUCAUUUCAACCAUCAAGCCCCCGGGGCUUGUGUUGGGGACCUGCGGCUGCUCCGCAGGCCCUGAAAUACAGUGGCGGGCUCGCUAGUCACACCGAGCGUAGUAGACAUUUUAUCUCGCUCAGGGCGUGCUGCGGGUUCCGGCCGUUAAACCCCCGCCUUCUAACCCAAGGUUGACCUCGGAUCAGGUAGGAAGACCCGCUGAACUUAA